AUGAGGGGGGUCGGGCUUCGGGGGUCUCCGGAGACGUUCGUUGCCUGUGCCAAGUCUGCACAGUUUGGGGGCGGGGGGGGAAUCUUUGUUAGGAGCCUGUUUCUCAUCUUGGGGUCUCCUCUUGAUCGGCACCCCCUCCCCGGCCCGGAACGGCGGGGACCCCGUCCUCUGCAGACAAUACCAACUCUGUUCCUUGCGGGCGUCUUUUCGGAAACCGAGACACCGGGAAGCAGCAGGCACGUCGAGGCAGGAAACUCUUCCGACCCGGCAACUUCCCGGCUCGGGGGCUCUCGGGACCCCCACCCGGCCCUCCCCUCAGGACCUGCGGGGUCCCUCGUCUUCCAAGAGCCGCGAGGUAGUCUCCAGCACCGUUUCGGACGCGCCCUCCGCCCCGGGUCCCCCGGAGCACACGCGGGAGCCGGCGGGAGCGGGGCGCAAACUCACCUGGCCGGAGCGGGGCGCGGGGGCGCGGGGGCGCCGCUGCCCUUCAGCGGGAGCCGACAAACUUUCGCGGGCGCCCGGCGGGCAUCGCUCGGUGGCCCCGCUAAGGACGCGCGGGCGCGGCGCGGCGAGCCCGGGGCGGCGGGCGGCGGGGGGCGGCCGCGGGCACGGGCGGCAGGGGUGCGGGGGUCGCGGCGCGGCAUGGGACCUGCGGCGUCCGCCGGGCACGCCGCGCGUCCUCCCGCCGGCCCCGCCGCUCUCCCCGCCCCGUCCCGCCUCCCGCUCGCCUCCGCCGCGGCGCGUCGGGCCGGGGCGCGCCGAGCGGCGAGAAAUUGUUUCCACUGCAAACAAAAAAAGGCGACACAUGACCAGGCAGGAGGAGGGGAAGCGAGGGGAGGGAGGAGGGCGGAGGGAGGGACGGAGCGGAGGGCGGAGGGAGUCGGAGAGAGGGAAAACGUGGGCCUGGCCGCCAGCGGCCUGGGGCGCGGGGCACGGACCCGCCAGGGCGGCCCCUGCCCGCGCCCCCCGCACCCCCUGGACGCAGCCAGGACCGAGCCGCGCGGCCUCGCCUGCUGGGCCCCGCGGGGCGGGGGUGACCGGCGCGGGUCCCGCGACCCGGGACGGCCGCGACCGUGGGCGGCGGAGCAGGUGGGGCGGGCGGCGCGUGCCCUCUCCCCUCUCUGGGCUCCGGCCACACGGGCGGGCCGGCGCUGCGCUGCUGGCAACGUGUCGCUGGAACGCUCCUACCCCAUCUGCAUGCCUUACAUGGCUCGAAAGUAA
rnacentral:lncRNA from 1 species